UAAAAUAAAGCUUUAUUAGUUAAGCGUUUCACUUACGUUGAAAAGUAUUAUCGUGCAAAUCGAUUUGUUUUAA
rnacentral:tRNA from 2 species